rnacentral:rRNA from 1 species
UACGUAGGCAGCAAGCGUUGUUCGGAGUUACUGGGCGUAAAGGGUGCGUAGGCGGUUGUUUAAGUUUGGUGUGAAAUCUCCCGGCUCAACUGGGAGGUGCGCCGAAUACUGAAUGACUAGAGUGCGGGAGAGGAGAGUGGAAUCCUGGUGUAGCGGUGAAAUGCGUAGAUAUCAGGAGGAACACCGGUGGUGUAGACGGGCUCUCUGGACCGUAACUGACGCUGAGGCACGAAAGCGUGGGUAGCAAACAGG